rnacentral:rRNA from 1 species
AGAGUUUGAUCAUGGCUCAGAUUGAACGCUGGCGGCAGGCUUAACACAUGCAAGUCGAGCGGAAACGAUGGUAGCUUGCUACCAGGCGUCGAGCGGCGGACGGGUGAGUAAUACUUAGGAAUCUACCUAGUAGUGGGGGAUAGCACGGGGAAACUCGUAUUAAUACCGCAUACGACCUACGGGAGAAAGGGGGCAGUUUACUGCUCUCGCUAUUAGAUGAGCCUAAGUCGGAUUAGCUAGAUGGUGGGGUAAAGGCCUACCAUGGCGACGAUCUGUAGCUGGUCUGAGAGGAUGAUCAGCCACACCGGGACUGAGACACGGCCCGGACUCCUACGGGAGGCAGCAGUGGGGAAUAUUGGACAAUGGGGGAAACCCUGAUCCAGCCAUGCCGCGUGUGUGAAGAAGGCCUUUUGGUUGUAAAGCACUUUAAGCAGUGAAGAAGACUCUUCGGUUAAUA